rnacentral:rRNA from 1 species
AUUGAACGCUGGCGGCAGGCCUAACACAUGCAAGUCGAACGAGUGGCGGACGGGUGAGUAAUGUCUGGGAACCUGCCUGAUGGAGGGGGAUAACUACUGGAAACGGUAGCUAAUACCGCAUACCAUCAGAUGUGCCCAUGUGGGAUUAUCUUGUUGGUGGGGUAACGGCUCACCAAGGCGACGAUCCCUAGCUGGGCCGAGAGGAUGACCAGCCACACUGGAACUGAGACACGGUCCAGACUCCUACGGGAGGCAGCAGUGGGGAAUAUUGCACAAUGGGCGAAAGCCUGAACCAGCCAUGCCGCGUGUGUGAAGAAGGUCUUCGGAUUGUAAAGCUCUUUAAGUUGGGAGGCGUUACCAACAGAAUAAGCACCGGCUAACUACGUGCCAGCAGCCGCGGUAAUUC